AUAUAUCUAUUGCAACGAUUUUAUUAAUUUCCUUUCUAAAAUUUCAAAGGUCCGCUAUAAGCAAUUUUAAGAAAACCCUUCCACUCUCAAACCUAUUCUCUGUCGAUUUGCUUUCUCUCAAAUAUUUCUCUCUCAAGAUUUUCUCAGUCUCUCAAACCAUUUCUCUCUCGAUUUGCACCUUAAUUUGCAAUUAGGACUAAUUGCAUUUUGAUAGGUUAACCACAGAAAAUAUCGGCGGAGAUCGAGGAUAUUAUUCUACAAAAAAUUUUACUUGUAGCUCUAGUUGGUUCAAUGAAAAAUGAUACACGUAUUGUACAUUUAGAGAUUACGGCGGCGGAGAUUUUAAGCAAGGGUAAAGAAUUAAGGUUGUCUAGGGAUUUGAUGGAGCAGGUUUUGAUUCACCGACUUUUGGUAAUUAUGUAUCGACAAAACCCUUUUUUCAGUAUUUGGUAAUUGUUAUCGUAGGGCACUUGUAGAGGGGAAGAAACCCAUCUUCUUAUUCCUUCUCUGAAUGUGUCACUUUAGCAUGUUUUAUCUUCAAAAUAUCUCAUUGAUUGUUGUCACAGUGAUUAUGUAUGUCUGACGAUAUGUGUGUUCAGGUAUUACUUCUCAGAGAUGAUAUCAUGCAUUUAGCUCUGUUUGAAAAUCACAGGUUGUGCUAUAUUUUGAGAAUUUAAUCUGAUUGGUUAUGCAAUUUUAGGCUGAUCUUGGCAUUAUUUAUUUGCGAUUUGGAUUGAGUUUCUUUUUCGAUAAUCUAGGCACUGUUAACGGGUUAUUCGCUCCCCUUAUUUAUUUACAAUUUGGAUUUUCUUUUUUUGUAAUCCAGUCACUGUUAACGGGCCAUUAUCUCCCCUCUUCCAGCAAUUUUACAUUGCAUAUCAAUUGGUUCAAAUAUGAAAGAGAGCCUUGGCAUAACUGGUAAAGUUAUUGUCACAUGACCAGAAGGUCAUGGUUUCAAUCCAUAGAAGCAGCCUCUUGUAGAAAUGCAUGGAAAGGCUGCGUAUAAUAGACCCUUUGGCCUUUCCCAGACCCAAUGCGUAAUAGGAGCUUUAUUACAUCAGGCUGACCUUUGCCUUUUCAGAUUAUAACCAUAUCACGUGGUAUGAUUUUCUGUUAUAUAAAAGGUGAGGAAUCACCUCAUGGUUGACAUUGUUUCGUUACGUCAUUCAGAUCAAAUGUGGGGAUAUUCUUUAGUGUUUAAUUUAACUUCUUGGCUAUUUUACUGAACUGGUAACAUUAGUCUGCAAGUAAUGGGCUAAAGAAUAACACUACCCUUUGACAUAACUUGAAGCUAAGAGUAAUGGGAUAAACAUGUCUUACUUAUCUAUUCCAGUUCCCAUCCUAUAAUUUUGAGCAUUUCUUGUUUGAUUGACUAAGUGUUUUCUCUGCAUGAUUAACUGAUUGUUGUAUUAUGGUGUCAAGGAAUGGAAGUACUGUUGGUAUGGAUAUAGGGAUCAUCUUGAAAGAAUAGAAGUUUGAAACUUAUUCCGUUGAUGUUAACUGAAUGGCUUAACCAUUGUUGUCUAACUAUACUUGUUGGAUUUGUUUGCCAGAUUAUCUUCAUUAAAUUCCUGCUCGACUCCCCUAGAAGUUAAAGUCCCCAACUUAUCUUCUAAACUGUUUUCACUUCCAAAUAUGAUACGUAAAUCACCUUACACUCAUCUUGUCGUCCACAACUUCUUAAUACUUCUCUAAUCUCUUCCUUAUAUGAGUUUUAUGACGUAUGAGUUUAUGCUUAACACAUUCAAUUCUCCUUUGGAUAUAAUGUUUGUACUAUUUUUUAUCAAGUUUUAUUUGAUUGCUGCUUGUGUUUGUAAGCUAAUUCAUAAUUCAUAAUUGCAGAAGAAAAGAUGGUAAAGCAACACGUUCACGAGUUUCCAUAAUGCCCAUUGGGACACCAAAGGUUCCCUAUAGAAGUCCAAUUAAGGGAACAAGGCAACGGGUUAAUUUGUGAAAUGAUCUUAAGAGAUAAAUGAAGAAUUUAGCUACCAGAUAUUGGCAACAACAUUGUACCUUGACACUAUUGAUGAUUCCAAGAGGAUCUACUUGUAUAUCAUUGGCCCUGGUGGUGAUGUUCACCAUACAACUUCUAAUAUACUUUAAUCAGCACUCAAAAGAGUAAUUGGUCAAGAAACAUCUCAAGCAGGAUCAAUGGUUGCUUUUAAUCAUCUUAGAUUUAACUUCAACUUCCAUCGACCUCUUCUAGACAAGGAACUCAUAGAAAUCGAAGGUUUGAUCAACCAAUGGAUCGGUGAUGGCAUGAUUCUAGAAACAAAAGUCAUGUCUUUAACUGAUGCGAAAGGAGCUGGGGCAAUUGCAAUGUUUGGAGAAAAAUAUGGAGAACAGGUGGGGAUACUUACCAUUUUAUGUUAAGAAUAUGAUGAUUAUAGAACAAGGGAGAUUGUUUUGGCUGCUAUCUUUUUGCUAAUUUUUGCUAUUAAAGUAGAUAUAUGGAGUGACCAACAAUCCUCUUUUAUGAGUCGGUGAGAAAUAGAGAUUAGACUGUACACUAGUCCAUUCUGAGGAUUAAGUCUAAUAGUGAGAUUUUAACCAUGUAUUAAAGUUCAACUUGAAUUAUAAGAUUAUUAAUGAAUGAUUUUGUUUUGUGAUGUGUA